UACACCACGGGUAACCUCAUCCGACUGGGACUGUCUGCCCUAAUUACGGUUCUUAUGGUGGCUUUCCUGGUGGAAGCCUGGUGGAGCCAGAGGAGGUCUCCAAGUGGGUCCAGCAAUUAAAGUGCCAAUCGUUGUGGAAGAAGCAGAGGAGCAGCCAGCCCAGGACAAGACGCUGACUUCCUUCUUCCUGUGCGCUUCACCGGGGCCCUAUGGCAGGACUGAGCGGACUCACCUAACACAUUUUGGAGGACUUGACAAAUACUUAAAACUUCAGCAUCUGACCGGGUAGCAAGUAGUUUCAUGUGUGGGAACUGUUCUUCCUUGAAAACUGGGGAAAGAUGGGUUCCUAUAUAGUAUUUAUUAGUGCUUCCCUUCCACUCUAUCUUCUGCUCUUACCAGCAGCUGGUCAAAUGUUGAAACUACUGUAUUUAUCAUGUCUUUUAAAUUUUAUUUCAUAUAUUCUCAUAAUUUUACCUAAUUCAGGAGAAUUCCAGUCUAUAUUAUAGUGUCAAUUUGCUCUUGAGUUGUCCCAGUAUUCCUGGUUCUGGUGUAAAAAGUCAUUGAGUAUAUUUUCAUUUUCAAGAUCUGUUGUUUCUUGUUUGAUAUCUUGUUCAUUUUCAUAAAUGCUCCCUCUUAUUUUAGAACUAUUAUCUCCUCUCUCAUAACUCCGGACAUA